UCUUCCGUAGUAUAGUGGUCAGUAUGUGAGCUUGUCAAAUCCCCUCUACCGGGGUAUUAGCACCGCUCGAGACCCGGGUUCAAUUCCCGGCGGGAGAG